rnacentral:rRNA from 1 species
AUUGAACGCUGGCGGCAUGCUUUACACAUGCAAGUCGAGCGGCAGCGCGGGGGCAACCCUGGCGGCGAGCGGCGAACGGGUGAGUAAUGCAUCGGAAUGUAUCCUCGAGUGGGGGAUAACCCAGCGAAAGUUGGGCUAAUACCGCAUGAGCUCUGAGGAGGAAAGCGGGGGACCUGCGAGGGCCUCGCGCUGGAGGAGCGGCCGAUGUCCGAUUAGCUAGUUGGUGGGGUAAAGGCUUACCAAGGCGACGAUCGGUAGCUGGUCUGAGAGGAUGAUCAGCCACACUGGGACUGAGACACGGCCCAGACUCCUACGGGAGGCAGCAGUGGGGAAUUUUGGACAAUGGGGGCAACCCUGAUCCAGCCAUGCCGCGUGAGUGAAGAAGGCCUUCGGGUUGUAAAGCUCUUUCGGACGGAACGAAAUGGGCGGGACUAAUACUCCUGUCUGAUGACGGUACCGUAAGAAGAAGCACCGGCUAACUACGUG